GAUGAGCGCUAGCUACAGGCUUAACACAUGCAAGUCGAGGGGAAACGGCAUUAAGUGCUUGCACUUUUUGGACGUCGACCGGCGCACGGGUGAGUAACGCGUAUCCAACCUUCCCAUGACUAAGGGAUAACCUGCCGAAAGGCAGACUAAUACCUUAUGGUCUUCACUGACGGCAUCAGAUGUGAAGUAAAGAUUUAUCGGUUAUGGAUGGGGAUGCGUCUGAUUAGCUUGUUGGCGGGGUAACGGCCCACCAAGGCAACGAUCAGUAGGGGUUCUGAGAGGAAGGUCCCCCACAUUGGAACUGAGACACGGUCCAAACUCCUACGGGAGGCAGCAGUGAGGAAUAUUGGUCAAUGGGCGAGAGCCUGAACCAGCCAAGUAGCGUGCAGGAUGACGGCCCUAUGGGUUGUAAACUGCUUUUGUAUGGGGAUAAAGUCAAUCACGUGUGAUUGUUUGCAGGUACCAUACGAAUAAGGACCGGCUAAUUCCGUGCCAGCAGCCGCGGUAAUACGGAAGGUCCGGGCGUUAUCCGGAUUUAUUGGGUUUAAAGGGAGCGUAGGCUGGAGAUUAAGUGUGUUGUGAAAUGUAGGCGCUCAACGUCUGACUUGCAGCGCAUACUGGUUUCCUUGAGUACGCACAACGUUGGCGGAAUUCGUCGUGUAGCGGUGAAAUGCUUAGAUAUGACGAAGAACUCCGAUUGCGAGGGCAGCUGACGGGAGCGCAACUGACGCUGAAGCUCGAAGGUGCGGGUAUCGAACAGG
rnacentral:rRNA from 1 species